CCUACGGGAGGCAGCAGUGGGGAAUCUUGCGCAAUGGGCGAAAGCCUGACGCAGCCAUGCCGCGUGGAUGAUGAAGGUCUUAGGAUUGUAAAAUCCUUUCACCGGUGAAGAUAAUGACUGUAGCCGGAGAAGAAGCCCCGGCUAACUUCGUGCCAGCAGCCGCGGUAAUACGAAGGGGGCUAGCGUUGCUCGGAAUUACUGGGCGUAAAGGGAGCGUAGGCGGACAUUUAAGUCAGAGGUGAAAUCCCGGAGCUUAACUUCGGAACUGCCUUUGAUACUGGGUGUCUUGAGUGUGAGAGAGGUAUGUGGAACUCCGAGUGUAGAGGUGAAAUUCGUAGAUAUUCGGAAGAACACCAGUGGCGAAGGCGACAUACUGGCUCAUUACUGACGCUGAGGCUCGAAAGCGUGGGGAGCAAACAGGAUUAGAUACCCUGGUAGUCCACGCCGUAAACGAUGAUUGCUAGUUGUCGGGAAGCUUGCUUCUCGGUGACGCNGCUACGCAUANCAUCCGCCGUGGGAGGUACGGUCGCAGAUAAACUACAAGAGAGUAGCGNGNGAGNGCGACGACGACGACGACGGAGGAGG
rnacentral:rRNA from 1 species